rnacentral:rRNA from 1 species
GAUGAACGCUGGCGGCGUGCCUAAUACAUGCAAGUCGAGCGAACAGACGAGGAGCUUGCUCCUCUGACGUUAGCGGCGGACGGGUGAGUAACACGUGGAUAACCUACCUAUAAGACUGGGAUAACUUCGGGAAACCGGAGCUAAUACCGGAUAAUAUAUUGAACCGCAUGGUUCAAUAGUGAAAGACGGUUUUGCUGUCACUUAUAGAUGGAUCCGCGCCGCAUUAGCUAGUUGGUAAGGUAACGGCUUACCAAGGCGACAAUGCGUAGCCGACCUGAGAGGGUGAUCGGCCACACUGGAACUGAGACACGGUCCAGACUCCUACGGGAGGCAGCAGUAGGGAAUCUUCCGCAAUGGGCGAAAGCCUGACGGAGCAACGCCGCGUGAGUGAUGAAGGUCUUCGGAUCGUAAAACUCUGUUAUUAGGGAAGAACAAAUGUGUAAGUAACUAUGCACGUCUUGACGGUACCUAAUCAGAAAGCCACGGCUAACUACGUG